UACGUAGGGUGCAAGCGUUGUCCGGAAUUAUUGGGCGUAAAGCGCGUGUAGGCGGCCAGAUAGGUCUGCUGUGAAAACUCGAGGCUCAACCUCGAGCUGUCGGCGGAAACCAUCUGGCUAGAGUCCGGAAGAGGAGAGUGGAAUUCCUGGUGUAGCGGUGAAAUGCGCAGAUAUCAGGAAGAACACCUAUGGCGAAGGCAGCUCUCUGGGACGGUACUGACGCUGAGACGCGAAAGCGUGGGGAGCGAACAGG
rnacentral:rRNA from 1 species